CACGGGGGGAACGCGAAGAACCUUACCAGGCCUUGACAUCCAAUGAACUUUCCAGAGAUGGAUUGGUGCCUUCGGGAACAUUGAGACAGGUGCUGCAUGGCUGUCGUCAGCUCGUGUCGUGAGAUGUUGGGUUAAGUCCCGUAACGAGCGCAACCCUUGUCCUUAGUUACCAGCACGUAAUGGUGGGCACUCUAAGGAGACUGCCGGUGACAAACCGGAGGAAGGUGGGGAUGGCGUCAAGUCAUCAUGGCCCUUACGGCCUGGGCUACACACGUGCUACAAUGGUCGGUACAGAGGGUUGCCAAGCCGCGAGGUGGAGCUAAUCCCAGAAAACCGAUCGUAGUCCGGAUCGCAGUCUGCAACUCGACUGCGUGAAGUCGGAAUCGCUAGUAAUCGCGAAUCAGAAUGUCGCGGUGAAUACGUUCCCGGGUCUUGUACACACGC
rnacentral:rRNA from 1 species